ACCAGGUAGACUAAUGACAUAGAUGACCAGGUAGACUAAUGACAUAGAUGACCAGGUAGACUAAUGACAUAGAUGACCAGGUGGAGUAAUGACAUAGAUGACCAGGUGGAGUAAUGACAUAGAUGUCCAGGUGGAGUAAUGACAUAGAUGACCAGGUGGACUAAUGGCAUAGAUGAACAGGUGGACUAAUGACAUAGAUGAACAGGUGGAGUAAUGACAGAGAUGACCAGGUGGACUAAUGACAGAGAUGACCAGGUGGACUAAUGACAGAGAUGACCACGUGGACUAAUGACAGAGAUGACCAGGUGGACUAAUGACAGAGAUGACCAGGUGGAUUAAUGACAGAGAUGACCAGGUGGACUAAUGACAGAGAUGACCAGGUGGACUAAUGACAUAG
ensembl:lncRNA